AUCCAGCUGAUGAGUCCCAAAUUGGACGAAACACGCCUCCUAGAU
rfam:Schistosoma mansoni strain Puerto Rico chromosome 4, complete genome